UACGGAGGAUCCGAGCGUUAUCCGGAUUUAUUGGGUUUAAAGGGUGCGCAGGCGGAAGAUUAAGUCGGCGGUGAAAUUUUGCAGCUCAACUGUAAAAGUGCCAUCGAUACUGGCUUUCUUGAGUGUGGAUGAAGUAGGCGGAAUUUGUGGUGUAGCGGUGAAAUGCAUAGAUAUCACGAGGAACUCCGAUUGCGCAGGCAGCUUACUAGGCCAUAACUGGCGCUCAGGCACGAAGGCGUGGGGAUCAAACAGGAUUA
rnacentral:rRNA from 1 species